rnacentral:tRNA from 1 species
GCGGUAGUAGCUCAAUUGGUAGAGCGCCAUCCUUCCAAGCUGGAUGUUGCAGGUUCGAGCCCUGUCUGCCGCACCA